rnacentral:rRNA from 1 species
AGGGAAUCUUGCGCAAUGGGCGAAAGCCUGACGCAGCAACGCCGCGUGCGGGUAGAAGGCCUUCGGGUGUAAACCGCUUUUGGCAGGAAUGAAAAUGACGGUACCUGCAGAAUAAGGUGCGGCCAACUACGUGCCAGCAGCCGCGGUGACACGUAGGCACCAAGCGUUGUCCGGAUUUAUUGGGCGUAAAGAGCUCGUAGGCGGUUCAGUAAGUCGGGUGUGAAAACUCUGGGCUUAACCCGGAGACGCCACCCGAUACUGCUGAACUUGAGUUCGGUAGGGGAGCGGGGAAUUCCUGGUGUAGCGGUGAAAUGCGCAGAUAUCAGGAGGAACACCGGUGGCGAAGGCGCCGCUCUGGGCCGAAACUGACGCUGAGGAGCGAAAGCGUGGGUAGCAAACAGGAUUAGAUACCCUGGUAGUCCACGCCGUAAACGUUGGGCACUAGGUGUGGGUUCCAACCAACGGAAUCCGUGCCGUCGCUAACGCAUUAAGUGCCCCGCCUGGGGAGUACGGCCGCAAGGCUA